rnacentral:rRNA from 1 species
UACAGAGGUCUCAAGCGUUGUUCGGAUUCAUUGGGCGUAAAGGGUGCGUAGGUGGCGUGGUAAGUCGGGUGUGAAAUUUCGGAGCUUAACUCCUAAACUGCACUGGAUACUGUUUUGCUUGAGGACUGGAGAGGAGAUUGGAAUUUACGGUGUAGCGGUGAAAUGCGUAGAUAUCGUAAGGAAGACCAGUGGCGAAGGCGGGUCUCUGGACAGUUCCUGACGCUGAGGCACGAAGGUCAGGGGAGCAAACGGG